GAUAAACGCUGGCGGCGUGCCUAAUACAUGCAAGUCGAGCGAACGGACGAGAAGCUUGCUUCUCUGAUGUUAGCGGCGGACGGGUGAGUAACACGUGGAUAACCUACCUAUAAGACUGGGAUAACUUCGGGAAACCGGAGCUAAUACCGGAUAAUAUUUUGAACCGCAUGGUUCAAAAGUGAAAGACGGUCUUGCUGUCACUUAUAGAUGGAUCCGCGCUGCAUUAGCUAGUUGGUAAGGUAACGGCUUACCAAGGCAACGAUGCAUAGCCGACCUGAGAGGGUGAUCGGCCACACUGGAACUGAGACACGGUCCAGACUCCUACGGGAGGCAGCAGUAGGGAAUCUUCCGCAAUGGGCGAAAGCCUGACGGAGCAACGCCGCGUGAGUGAUGAAGGUCUUCGGAUCGUAAAACUCUGUUAUUAGGGAAGAACAUAUGUGUAAGUAACUGUGCACAUCUUGACGGUACCUAAUCAGAAAGCCACGGCUAACUACGUGCCAGCAGCCGCGGUAAUACGUAGGUGGCAAGCGUUAUCCGGAAUUAUUGGGCGUAAAGCGCGCGUAGGCGGUUUUUUAAGUCUGAUGUGAAAGCCCACGGCUCAACCGUGGAGGGUCAUUGGAAACUGGAAAACUUGAGUGCAGAAGAGGAAAGUGGAAUUCCAUGUGUAGCGGUGAAAUGCGCAGAGAUAUGGAGGAACACCAGUGGCGAAGGCGACUUUCUGGUCUGUAACUGACGCUGAUGUGCGAAAGCGUGGGGAUCAAACAGGAUUAGAUACCCUGGUAGUCCACGCCGUAAACGAUGAGUGCUAAGUGUUAGGGGGUUUCCGCCCCUUAGUGCUGCAGCUAACGCACUAAGCACUCCGCCUGGGGAGUACGACCGCAAGGUUGAAACUCAAAGGAAUUGACGGGGACCCGCACAAGCGGUGGAGCAUGUGGUUUAAUUCGAAGCAACGCGAAGAACCUUACCAAAUCUUGACAUCCUUUGACAACUCUAGAGAUAGAGCCUUCCCCUUCGGGGGACAAAGUGACAGGUGGUGCAUGGUUGUCGUCAGCUCGUGUCGUGAGAUGUCGGGUUAAGUCCCGCAACGAGCGCAACCCUUAAGCUUAGUUGCCAUCAUUAAGUUGGGCACUCUAAGUUGACUGCCGGUGACAAACCGGAGGAAGGUGGGGAUGACGUCAAAUCAUCAUGCCCCUUAUGAUUUGGGCUACACACGUGCUACAAUGGACAAUACAAAGGGCAGCGAAACCGCGAGGUCAAGCAAAUCCCAUAAAGUUGUUCUCAGUUCGGAUUGUAGUCUGCAACUCGACUACAUGAAGCUGGAAUCGCUAGUAAUCGUAGAUCAGCAUGCUACGGUGAAUACGUUCCCGGGUCU
rnacentral:rRNA from 1 species